ACCAAGGAGUCUAACAUGUGUGUGAUUUGGUGGGUUUGUAAACCUGCAAGGUGUAAGGAAGAUGAAGGGUGCGAUCCCCUCUCCAUGGGGUGCAUUGUCGAAUGAACUUGAGAUUUUGUGAAGGGUUUGAGUGUGAGCACACCUGUUGGGACCCAAAAUAUGGUGAACUAUGCCUGAGCAGGGUGAAGCCAGAGGAAACUAUGGUGGAGGCCCAUACCAAUACUGACAUGCAAAUUGUUCGUCUGACUUGGGUAUGGGGGUGAAAUACUAAUCGAACCAUAUAGUAGCUUGUUUCCUCUGAAUUUUCCCUCAGUAUAGUUGGAGCUCAUGUGUGAUUUUUAUGAAGUAAAGAAAAUGAUUAUAGGUAUCAUGGGCGUAACUCUCUCGACCUAUUCUCAAACUUUAAAUAGGUAAGACGAUGUGGCUUCUCCAUUGAGUUGUACCACAUAAUCUAGAGCUCCAAGUGGCCCAUUUUUGGUAAGAAGAACUGGCAAUGCGAGAUGAACCAAAAGUCGAGUUACGGUGCCAAAUUGUGCACUAACCUAGAUCCCACAAAGGGUGUUGGUUGAUUAAGACAGUGGGACAAUGGUCAUGAAAGUUGAAAUCCACUAAAGAGUGUGUAACAACUCACAUGCCAAAUCAGCUAGCCCUGAAAAAUGAUGGUGCUGAAGCAUGCAACCUAUACUCGGUCGUCAGAGCAAUUUAUAGGCUUCGAUGAGUAAAGGGAUGCAGGGGUCGUUGAGAAACCUUGGGUGUGAUCUUGGGUGGACCGACCCACAAUGCAUAUCUUGGUGGUAGUAGCAAAUAUUCAAUUGAAAACUUUGAAGACUAAAGUGCGGAAAGGUUCUAUGUGAAAAACACUUGGACAUGGGUUAGUUGAUCCUAAGAGAUGGGGAAGCCAUGUAUCAAGGGUGCACUCCACAUAUUAUUAGAUAUUCCACAAAGAUCUUCCACAAUCUCAAUGGUGAAUCCUUAUUCCUCUAGGGAUAUUGUGAGAUUUUGAAGGGAAUCUUUAUAUGUCUGGCAUUGUGGUUUCACAAACUCAAUAAACCGACUAAUGAUAUCUAUGAAAUAUGAUAUACCCUUAUCUUCGCAACAAACCUUGAUCCAAUAUUU
rnacentral:ncRNA from 1 species